AUUAUUUUUGGCUAAGAUCAAGUGUAGUAUCUGUUCUUAUCAGUAUAAUAUCUGAUACGUGGGGCAAUGCCUUGCGUAAUAUUAAAUUAGUUUUUGCUCUUAUGGGGAGUCCAUCACAACAGCUUGCUGUUGGGGCACUCAAGUGUCGCCCUUGCGUUGCACUACUGCAACGUCUACAGAAUAACC